rnacentral:rRNA from 1 species
CGCGGCCUAUCAGCUUGUUGGCGGGGUAACGGCCCACCAAGGCUACGACGGGUAGCUGGUUUGAGAGAACGAUCAGCCACACUGGAACUGAGACACGGUCCAGACUCCUACGGGAGGCAGCAGUGGGGAAUCUUGCGCAAUGGGCGAAAGCCUGACGCAGCAACGCCGCGUGCGGGAUGAAGGCCUUCGGGUUGUAAACCGCUUUCAGCAGGGACGAAAAUGACGGUACCUGCAGAAGAAGCUCCGGCCAACUACGUGCCAGCAGCCGCGGUGAUACGUAGGGAGCAAGCGUUGUCCGGAAUUACUGGGCGUAAAGGGCUCGUAGGUGGUUGAGUAAGUCAGAUGUGAAAUCUCAGGGCCCAACCCUGAGCCUGCAUUUGAUACUGCUCUGACUAGAGUCCGGUAGGGGAGUGCGGGACUCCUGGUGUAGCGGUGAAAUGCGCAGAUAUCAGGAAGAACACCGACAGCGAAGGCAGCACUCUGGGCCGGUACUGACACUGAGGAGCGAAAGCAUGGGUAGCAAACAGGAUUAGAUACCCUGGUAGUCCAUGCCGUAAACGUUGGGCACUAGGUGUGGGGAGAACUCAACUCUCUCUGCGCCGUAGCUAACGCAUUAAGUGCCCCGCCUGGGGAGUACGGA